AUGAUUAUCUUUAUAUGGGCACUUUGCUUUGUUCAAGGUGUUUUGGGUCAAGUUGUUGUGACUCAACCUGAAGUUAAAUCUGCUCAGAUUGGUCAGAGCAUCUCUAUUGACUGUAAGGUCAACACUGUAGUCCGUAAGCAUCCAGAUGGCUCAACAGAUUAUUACAUGUCCUGGUACCUUCAGAAGGCAGAGGGUCCUCCUGAACUCCUGAUAUAUUUAACAACAAAGAAGCAAUCAAGUACUCCAUCCAGAAUGAGUGGUGGAGGCAGUUUUCAUUCUGGAGGAAAUGGACUUGAUUUUACUCUAAACAACAAUAAUGUCCAGCUUGAAGAUGCAGGAGUGUAUUACUGUCUUAGUGUUCAUAAGAUCAGUGACAACUGGGUGUUCACACAGUGA